AUUGAACGCUGGCGGCAGGCUUAACACAUGCAAGUCGAGCGAGCGGCGGACGGGUGAGUAAUGUCUGGGACCCUGCCUGAUGGAGGGGGAUAACUACUGGAAACGGUAGCUAAUACCGCAUACUAUCAGAUGUGCCCAGAUGGGAUUAGCUAGUAGGUGGGGUAAUGGCUCACCUAGGCGACGAUCCCUAGCUGGUCUGAGAGGAUGACCAGCCACACUGGGACUGAGACACGGUCCAGACUCCUACGGGAGGCAGCAGUGGGGAAUUUUGCACAAUGGGCGCAAGCCUGAUACAGCCAUGCCGCGUGUGUGAUGAAGGCCUUCGGGUUGUAAAGUACUUUCAGCGUGGAGGCGUUACCCGCAGAAGAAGCACCGGCUAACUACGUGCCAGCAGCCGCGGUAAUAC
rnacentral:rRNA from 1 species